CUCAAGCUGUUGUGUUCUUGGCAAUGCCAGCUCCUCGGAAAGCAGCUGUGACUGCUCCUCCACUCCUUUGUCCAAGUUUCUCCUGGCCCUGGCUUCAGUUUACCCACCGUGUUUAAAAUUACCAUUGCCUGCUCAUCUCCAGGUCUUUCAGUCCAUGCAUUAUCACGACAUGUGGGAGGCAGAACGUUUUCAAACUCUUUCUUCCCAUGACAACUCUGGUUCAACAGAUACGGUGUUGAGUUCUGCGAGCGUUUCCUCUUCUGCACAAUAGUAAAGGUGUCCCAGCUUGCAGCCAAACAACCCUUUGAGAUUUGAGUCCAGCACAGGGGCAUCCACAUAGGAGGGAAGAAGCAGAGACAGACCAGUGGAGAAAUGAUAUAAUUAUGUGACUGCUGAGACUGGGAACAGGGGCAGCUGGCCACACAACCAGGUGGGUGGCGGAGAAUAGGGGGAUCAACUGCAGUUCCCAGAGCUCUGAGAAGCCUUGUCUCGUCUUGUCAUAGCAGCUGCUACUGAUGAACAACAAUGGCUUAAGCUACAGGAGAAACGAUGUGAGAAUAUAAGCUCUGCCAAUUAUAGUCUCAGUAAGUAACAGUAGCCAAAAAUGAUGAAAAAUAUAUGUGGUCCCAAGUUAUAUUUCAUGUUUCUAUACUCAUUGCUAAUUUGGGAAACAAGCCUUCUCAAAGUUUGCACAUAUUAAGCAUAUUAAUACAAAGGAAUGACCUUUAAAGCAACUCACUAGUUCUACUGCCUUCAAAGCCAUUUGAUUUAGCAUCAUAAGGUGACAAAAACU